rnacentral:rRNA from 1 species
CCUACGGGCGGUAGCAGUGGGGAAUAUUGGACAAUGGGGGGAACCCUGAUCCAGCCAUGCCGCGUGUGUGAAGAAGGCCCUCGGGUUGUAAAGCACUUUCAGUGAGGAAGAACGCCUGGUGGUUAAUACCCAUCAGGAAAGACAUCACUCACAGAAGAAGCACCGGCUAACUCCGUGCCAGCAGCCGCGGUAAUACGGAGGGUGCGAGCGUUAAUCGGAAUUACUGGGCGUAAAGCGCGCGUAGGUGGCUUGAUAAGCCGGUUGUGAAAGCCCCGGGCUCAACCUGGGAACGGCAUCCGGAACUGUCAAGCUAGAGUGCAGGAGAGGAGGGUAGAAUUCCCGGUGUAGCGGUGAAAUGCGUAGAGAUCGGGAGGAAUACCAGUGGCGAAGGCGGCCUUCUGGACUGACACUGACACUGAGGUGCGAAAGCGUGGGUAGCAAACAGGAUUAGAUACCCCUGUAGUC